AUUGAACGCUGGCGGCAGGCCUAACACAUGCAAGUCGAGCGGAGCGGCGGACGGGUGAGUAAUGCCUGGGAAUCUGCCUGGUAGUGGGGGAUAACGUCCGGAAACGGGCGCUAAUACCGCAUACUAUCAGAUGAGCCUAGGUCGGAUUGGCUAGUUGGUGGGGUAAAGGCCUACCAAGCCGACGAUCCGUAACUGGUCUGAGAGGAUGAUCAGUCACACUGAAACUGAGACACAGGCCAGACUCCUACGGGAGGCAGCAGUGAGGAAUAUUGAACAAUGGGCGAAAGCCUGAGCCAGCCAUGCCGCGUGUGUGAAGAAGGUCUUCGGAUUGUAAAGCACUUUAAGUUGGGAGGCGUUACCAGCAGAAUAAGCGCCGGCUAGCUUCGUGCCAGCGGCCGCGGUAAUUC
rnacentral:rRNA from 1 species